UACGAAGGGGGCUAGCGUUGCUCGGAAUCACUGGGCGUAAAGCGCACGUAGGCGGUCUUUUAAGUCAGGGGUGAAAUCCUGGAGCUCAACUCCAGAACUGCCUUUGAUACUGAGAGGCUUGAGUCCGGGAGAGGUGAGUGGAACUGCGAGUGUAGAGGUGAAAUUCGUAGAUAUUCGCAAGAACACCAGUGGCGAAGGCGGCUCACUGGCCCGGUACUGACGCUGAGGCACGAAAGCGUGGGGAGCAAACAGG
rnacentral:rRNA from 1 species